AUUGAACGCUGGCGGCAGGCCUAACACAUGCAAGUCGAGCGAGCGGCGGACGGGUGAGUAAUGUAUGGGGACUGCCCGAUCGAGGGGGAUAACCACUGGAAACGGUGGCUAAUACCGCAUACUAUCGGAUAACCCAUAUGGGAUUAGCUAGUGGGUGGGGUAAAGGCUCACCUAGGCGACGAUCGCUAGCUGGUCUGAGAGGAUGAACAGCCACACGGGGACUGGGACACGUCCAGGACUCCUACGGAGGAAGCAGUGGGGAAUAUUCGACAAGGGGCGCAAGCCGGAGGAAGCCAUGCCGCGUGGAUGAAGCAGGCCUUAGGGUUGUAAAGUACUUUCAGCGGGGAGACGUUACCCGCAGAGGAAGCACCGGCUAACUCCGUGCCAGCAGCCGCGGUAAUAC
rnacentral:rRNA from 1 species